UCCGUAGCUCAUGGGAUGUGCUGGGCCUGU
rnacentral:piRNA from 1 species